rnacentral:rRNA from 1 species
CCUACGGGAGGCAGCAGUGGGGAAUAUUGGGCAAUGGAGGAAACUCUGACCCAGCGACGCCGCGUGCGGGAUGAAGGCCUUCGGGUUGUAAACCGCUUUCAGCAGGGAAGAAGCGAAAGUGACGGUACCUGCAGAAGAAGCACCGGCUAACUAUGUGCCAGCAGCCGCGGUAAUACAUAGGGUGCAAGCGUUGUCCGGAAUUAUUGGGCGUAAAGAGCUCGUAGGUGGUUCGUCACGUCGGAUGUGAAAAUCUGGGGCUUAACCCCAGACCUGCAUUCGAUACGGGCGAGCUUGAGUAUGGUAGGGGAGUCUGGAAUUCCUGGUGUAGCGGUGGAAUGCGCAGAUAUCAGGAGGAACACCAAUGGCGAAGGCAGGACUCUGGGCCAUUACUGACACUGAGGAGCGAAAGCGUGGGGAGCGAACAGGAUUAGAUACCCUGGUAGUCCACGCCGUAAACGGUGGGCACUAGUUGUGGGGACCUUCCACGGUCUCUGCGACGCAGCUAACGCAUUAAGUGCCCCGCCUGGGGAGUACGAUCGCAAGNUUAAAACUCAAAGGAAUUGACGG